UAAUAAGUGUUUAUGGCACUUCUUAAAUCCAUAUCCACCUUGUGUGCAAUGUCAGCCGUUUUCUUUAUGAAAGCGGCCAAGCAUCAACUUAUUUUUUAACUGUCUGUCUGAAAACUAUUAUGAAUAAACAAUUCAAAUA
rnacentral:misc_RNA from 1 species